rnacentral:rRNA from 1 species
UAGGGAAUAUUGGUCAAUGGGCGAGAGCCUGAACCAGCCAAGUCGCGUGAAGGAAGAAGGAUCUAUGGUUCGUAAACUUCUUUUGCAGGGGAAUAAAGUGCGGGACGUGUCCUGUUUUGUAUGUACCCUGAGAAUAAGGAUCGGCUAACUCCGUGCCAGCAGCCGCGGUAAUACGGAGGAUCCGAGCGUUAUCCGGAUUUAUUGGGUUUAAAGGGUGCGUAGGUGGUUUGAUAAGUCAGCGGUGAAAGUUUGCAGCUUAACUGUAAAAAUGCCGUUGAAACUGUCGGACUGUAGUGUAAAUGAGGUAGGCGGAAUGCGUGGUGUAGCGGUGAAAUGCAUAGAUAUCACUCAGAACUCCGAUUGCGAAGGUAGCUUACUAAGCUACAACUGACUCUGAAGCACGAAAGCGGGGGGAUCAAACAGGGUUAGAUGCCCUUGUAGGC